CUAGGCUUGACAUCCCUCGAAUGUGCUAGAAAUAGCACAGUCCUUUCGGGGACGAGGAGACAGGUGCUGCAUGGCUGUCGUCAGCUCGUGUCGUGAGAUGUUGGGUUAAGUCCCGCAACGAGCGCAACCCUUACCCUUAGUUGCCAGCGGGUAAUGCCGGGAACUCUAAGGGAACUGCCGGUGAUAAACCGGAGGAAGGUGAGGAUGACGUCAAGUCCUCAUGGCCUUUAUGCCUAGGGCUACACACGUGCUACAAUGGCCGGUACAAAGGGUCGCAAGCCCGCGAGGGGGAGCCAAUCCCAAAAAGCCGGUCUCAGUUCAGAUUGCAGGCUGCAACUCGCCUGCAUGAAGGCGGAAUCGCUAGUAACCCCGGAUCAGCAUGCCGGGGUGAAUACGUUCCC
rnacentral:rRNA from 1 species